rnacentral:snoRNA from 1 species
AAAGCAGGCUGCAAUUACAGUGCUUCAUUCUGUGGGAGUACUGCCAUUUUGCUGCUGAGAGUAACUCUGUUAACGCUGUCUUUGGUUUCACCUAUGUGAUGGUGAAACCGUUUGUUCUUAACAUGUACAAGU